AUUGAACGCUGGCGGCAUGCCUUACACAUGCAAGUCGAACGGCAGCACGGGUGCUUGCACCUGGUGGCGAGUGGCGAACGGGUGAGUAAUACAUCGGAACGUACCUUAUCGUGGGGGAUAACGCAGCGAAAGCUGUGCUAAUACCGCAUACGCCCUGAGGGGGAAAGCGGGGGAUCGCAAGACCUCGCGCGAUUAGAGCGGCCGAUGCCUGAUUAGCUAGUUGGUGGGGUAAAAGCCCACCAAGGCGACGAUCAGUAGCUGGUCUGAGAGGACGAUCAGCCACACGGGGACUGAGACACGGCCCAGACUCCUACGGGAGGCAGCAGUGGGGAAUUUUGGACAAUGGGGGCAACCCUGAUCCAGCAAUGCCGCGUGAGUGAAGAAGGCCUUCGGGUUGUAAAGCUCUUUUGUCAGGGAAGAAACACCGGCUCUAACACAGUCCGGGAAUGACGGUACCUGAAGAAUAAGCACCGGCUAACUACGUACCAGCCGCCGCCGUAA
rnacentral:rRNA from 1 species